rnacentral:lncRNA from 1 species
GUCUGCACCCCCACCUGGCCUGGAAACCCAUUAUUAAGAAACCUCCCUGACAGUGUUUCCUCUUGUGUAAUCUUAGAUGGUCCACCUGCUUGUGAGUUUCCAUCUCAUGAUGCUGUCUUACACACGUUGAUUGUGGUUUUUGAGUUCAAAACCUGCUCCCCCAGAAGAGUAAGGGUUGCAGUGGCAGCAGCUGCAUCUGUGUUGUAUCCCUGACUGCUCAGUUUGCUGUUCAAAUCAACAAAGUUUCUCUGGUUAAAGAACAACAACAACAACAACAACUUGGUGUGUUCCUGUUGUUGGAUUUUCACCAGACUCUCCGCACCAUCGCACACCAACAUUUUGGGGGUUUGUCCAGGAUCCAGAGCCCUGAUACAGAAGUGCAAUUUUUUGAAUUGGCAACUUCAGGGGAAACACUGGAGGGACAUUCUGGCCAAGGCUCCUACUUCAAGGCUUGGUGAUGUCUUGUGGAAGAGCUACUUGAAUGGCUCAACUCUCUCUUGCUGGAGUCGAGCAGCGCCUCUUAAGUCCUCCCCCUCAGACCCAAGUCUCAGAGGGAUGAGAGGGAGAUUCCUGGUCUCCCCUCCAUGGACAAGGACACACCUCCUCACUAACAUUGUCCCCUCCAUUGCCCAACCUUUCACACGACUCAUGGAUCUCUUCCUACUUCUGCUAUCCCUGUCGUGGAGCUCCACCUCUAACUCCUUCUUCCCAAGUCCCCAUUACACCAGGACCGGUUCCAGAUAUUGAAGAGAUCUUAGUGAGGAAGACCACUUCUGGCAGAGUCCCCACCUUAACUCUAUGUAAGGUGUGGACACUCCCCAUGGCCCCGAGAUGAGGACCCUCCCAUGGGCCCCGAGAUGAGGACCCUUUCAUGGUUUAAAACAGCCUCUUGACCUCUAUCCUCAAAGAAUCUGAAUCCUUCUUUUUCAGAGAAACUCCAGGGUUUAACUUUUCUCUUGGAGACUAUACCCAUCAGCCAACUUGGGAUGACUGUCAACAACUCCUGAGAUGUUCUUUUCCUCACAGGCCUGGGAAUGCAUCUUCUGGGAAGCCAGGAAAUUGCUUCCUAGUGACAACAGUCACCCUUCAUAUGCCCAGAUUGGAACCCUAAUGAGGCAGCAGGCCAUGGUAACCUUGAAAGUGGAGGAAAAACCAAUGGACUUUCUGGUAGGCAUGGAAGCCAACUGAAGGAACCAAAGUGACUCCUAGCCACGAGAUGCAGCCUGGUGCUAAACAAUACCCCCAGUACAAGGAAAUGCCAUGUCAACCUCGAAAAAGGGAUGCUUAUUUCAUUAUACCUCUGGCCCUAAAAAGCCAACCCCUGUUUGCCUUUGAAUGGAUUGAUCUGGGCAAGGGCUUCAGCAGACAAUGGACAUGGAUCUGGCUACUGUGAUGUUACUCCAAUAUGCAGAUGACCUCAUCAGGGCAGCCAGCCAACAUGGACACGUGCACAAUGGCCACUCAAGAGCUCCUAGGACCUCUCCAAUGCCUGAGAUACUUGAUGGAUGUGCACCAAGAAGGCCCAACUCUGCAACCGGAAUGCCACAUACUUGGGAUUCCAUGAAGGGAGGAAGUCCUAGUUUAUGUCAUGUGAACAGGAAAUCUUGGGUUGGCGAGAUGGCUCAACGGCUAAGAACACUUAUUGCUCUUCUGAAGGCCCUGAGUUCAAAUCCCAGCAAUCACAUGGUGGCUCACAACCACCUAUAAUGAGAUCUGAUGCCCUCUUCUGGUGUGUCUGAACUCAGCUACAGGGUACUUAUGUUUAAUAAUAAAUAAAUCUUUGAGCCAGAGUGAGCAAGUUUGACCAGAGCGAGCGGGGCCGAGUGGAGCUAGUAAAGGUCCUAAAAUUUCGAUUCCGAACAACCACAUGAAGGCCCACAACCAUCUGUACAGCUACAGUGUACUCACAUAAAAUAAAGAAAUCUUUAAAAAAAAAAAAGCAAUCUUGAGAAUUCCCAACCUAUCAACAAAAAGGCAAAUCAGGGAGUUUUGAGGGGUCAGCAGGAUACUGUAAGCUCUGGAUUCCUGGAUUGGCUGAAUUAGGCAGACCCUUUAUUUGAUGUCACCCUGAGGCCUAAUAAUACCUUUCAAUGGACUGAGGUUGAAGAUAAUGGCCUUCAAACAGAUUAAACAAGCCCUGCUUUCUGUGCUAGGUGUAUCACUUUCUGACAUUAGAAAGUUUUUACACUGGUUUGUGGAUGAGAGGAGGAGGACCCCUAAGAGGUUGUCACUCAAACACUUGGCCAUAGCAGUGCCAGGUGCCUACCUUUGAAAAGAAUUAGACCCUGUGGCUAUCAGCUGGCCUGCCUGCCUGAGAAUUAUUGCAGCCAUAGCCUUAUUGACAGAAGACUCAAAUAAAUUGACUUUUGGACAGAACUUGAUCACUACCACUCCUCCUGUGGGAAAGACCCCACUCAUGAGCCCCCUGUGACCACUGCAUGACUGGUGCACAGCAGACUCAGCAUCAGGCCCUCCUCUUGAACCAACCAAACAUAACUUCUGACCAGUGGGCUACCUUCAACCUUGCUGCUCUGUUGUCUGACGCCAAGGGGAGCCCCUCUAUGAUUGACACUAGCCCUCAAGCCUGCCAGAGAUCUGCUGAAUAUGGCAUUUAAGAUAUUUAUACUUACCGUGGCAGACAGAGGUCCAGGUCCUAGAAGUGACCCCCAACGUCUACGGGAAAAUAAUAAACAGAACCACAAACUCCCACUAAAGUGUAACCGACUGCUUCCUAUUUGGCCACAAGCUCAAGAAUUUGAAUUUCCUUCGGUCAUCUUCUAAGUAUAGACUUAAUGAUGCUUCUCAAUGGGCUGAAACAUCUCUGUUCAAUCUAUGUACCUGGCUCUCUGCAGAGGGAAAGAAAACGUUCAUGAUUUCUAACACAAAGCUAUAGUUUUUGCUUAGACUCAAAGGUGGGAGUCUACUCCUGCUCUUUUACAGACGCCUGUUCGCUACUUUUUCUACGAUGUAGAUUCCGGUACGAUGGCAUUGCCAAUGUAUCUCCUUUUGGAAAGGAAAAAUUCAUGUAAGAUUCAGGGUGUCAAAGAAGUCAUAAAACUUGGACCCACCUGUCUCAGGUCAAAUGGAUCCCAGUUAUCUACAACCUGAGUCUCCUGAGAAUGGGGUUUGCCCUGGUCUUGGGAUGCCUCUCCUUCCCCAAUUUCAAGGCAAAUUUUAUGUCUUUCCUAGUCUAUGUUUGUCUCAGAAGAUUUUCACUUGCUCACAGACUCCAUCCCGGGUCACCUAUGCACUGCAAACUGCUGAACCCUAGACUUGCUGAAAGCUUAUACAAACCAGCCCAACCUAUGUGAUUGCUCCCUGUCUCUUCAGCUUGGCCAGCUCAAGAUGCUUCUGAUAAAUGCCCCAUUGCUCAGCCCUUGGGAAGCCUUUCAGCCUGCCUGGGCCCUGGCAUCAGUAGCCUAACAUGAGCUGGAAGUACUUACAGAGGAGAAUGGCAUCCCUUGACCCUUGGUCCUCUCCCUGCAACACCCUGCCCCCUUACCCAACAGGCUGAAAUGGUAAGUUAAAAAAAAAAUUAAAUAACUCCCUGACAUAGGGGACAAAAGUGCAAGCCAAUUGACACACCAGAAAAGUGGGCCCAGAUUGGUGAACAGGUAGAUUUAUUAAAUAAAACAGUUCUACUAUAUUAUAGGACACUUGACCUGUUUCAUGCAGGAAAAGAGAUACCAUAUGGCUUUUAAAAAGUUGUUUCUGUACAAGACAUUAGGAAUUGUACUUUGACUGUACUCAAGAAACAAUAUAAAAAAAGAGACUUGAGAUAAAGUAAAUGGGGCUGGAGAGAUGGCUCAGCCGUGAAAGGCUAGGCUCACAACCAAAAAUAUAAGAGAUAAAGUAGAUGACUGGUAGCCUGUCCUUCUAGACAGUAACUCUGAUGUCAGCGAUCACAGGGCCUUUGGCCCUCCUGCUUGUACUAGUUUACAACGACUGAUACAAUAAUUAAAUGAUAAUUCCUUUCUGGAUACCAUUAAGCUGAUGAUUAUUAGAUGGGAGAAUAAACCAAUACCCAAAAUAGAGUUGAGGAUUUGACCUGAGACACAACCGAAGGAGGGAAUGUAAUCUCCAAAAUUUACCUGAAAGCCCUACCUGCCCGACGACCAGGUAAGGAGAGGCUGGAGGUGCUGGGGGUUGUAGAACUUGGGAAUAUAACAAAAGCCUCAUGUGAAAGUACGGCGGCCUAUGAAUUUGCCUUCAUUUACCCCUGCAACUCUCCAUCUAUAUGGUGGUAGACUUCCCUUUUUCCCAUCUGAGAGCCUAGGUCCGAUCAAUCCCUUCUGCUGUCUGGGCUGACAUACCUGGCUUGGGCCCAGAAUGUUCCUCCUAACUACUCGAGCUCCCCUGUACCGGGGUUCACCUUUCUUCUCAUGACACUCAAAAGUGAGCACACAAGGGUUGUCGUCUGACCAGGGGGUAGCAGAAUGGGUGGCAGUGGGUUUCUCAAACUGGACCAGGAAGAGGGUCUGGUACCAGGUCAUGAAGUCAUUAGACAGCUGGCAUUUUGGUGUUCCCCUAGUAGGGCCUUAACGGUGUAGGUGCAGUGACUGUAAGAUCUUGAUCCAGAGUUAACUUGUUUGCUUUUUGUCGUUAGACAAGCAGUAGCUAGCUCAGCCCUUAGACAGGGGGGCCAUCCUGUGCCUAUAGGGACCAAUCAGGUCAGGUACCUCACAGGGCAUUUCCAUAGCUCCAAAGGUUGAGUUAAAACUCCUUUUGUAAUGUUUCUUUGUCUCAUGGACAAACAGAUGACAAGUUUUUGAUACAUCUGGAAGUGUUAGUACUGGAGGCCAAGUCAGAGCUUUUUUAAAAACCUGAAAUGUGUUUUAUUUCAUCUCAGUUCAGAAUAGGCACUUAGUAUCCUGUGAAUGGUAUCUUUAAAUGUUUAAUAACUCUAUUAGUUAUUAAUAUGUCCCAGUCAGCCCCCUAGUAAUCAAGGCAGAGUUCUGCGGGUUGCUUUUUAAUCAGUGCUCUUAACUGCUGAGCCAUGUUUCUGGCCCCUGUAGUCACUUUUAUUUAGCUCUAAUUUGGGGAGCAAGGUUAAACAGCAAAGGCUGGUGUAUGGAAGAAUCUUCUCAUUUGGGGCAACUAGAAAUUGGGGUUCAGAAUUUAGCACUUGUAUACACAGCACCAAAAUCUCCUCCUGGCCGAGAAAACCUCUCCACAGAGGAGGAAGAGAAAGAACACCAAUUUGCUUAGUGAACUCUGGUGUGCACCCUGAGAGAGGGCAAAGACAGAAGGAAGUCUUGCCCUUCCAGAAAAGGCUCGGCUCAUCACAUACAUGCUCUCAAAGCGGGCAACCAAGACCCUUUUCAGACCAGGAUGGCCUCCAGAACGGAGAAGAUGUGGGGUAGUAUGAUGGCUUUCGCCUGUAACCCUAGCGCUCUGGAGUCAGUGAAGAAAGGUCAGAAUAAGUCCAUUUCUGUUUUCUGUAAGACUUGCAUUUGACCAUGUUUUGACUC